rnacentral:rRNA from 1 species
GUGAGUAAUAUUGGGCAAUGGGCGAAAGCCUGACCCAGCCACGCCGCGUGAGUGAUGAAGGCCUUCGGGUUGUAAAGCUCUGUGGGGAGGGAAGAAAAAGCGGGAGAGUAACUGCUCUCGUGUUGACGGUACCUCCUUAGCAAGCACCGGCUAACUCUGUGCCAGCAGCCGCGGUAAUACAGAGGGUGCAAACGUUGCUCGGAAUUACUGGGCGUAAAGCGCGUGUAGGCUGACAUGCAAGUCGGGUGUGAAAUCCCAGGGCUCAACCUUGGAACUGCACUCGAAACUGCACGUCUUGAGUACUGGAGAGGGAAGCGGAAUUCCGGGUGUAGAGGUGAAAUUCGUAGAUAUCCGGAGGAACACCAGUGGCGAAGGCGGCUUCCUGGACAGUAACUGACGCUGAGACGCGAAAGCGUGGGGAGCAAACAGGAUUAGAAACCCCUGUAGUCC